rnacentral:rRNA from 1 species
UACAGAGGUCUCGAGCGUUGUUCGGAUUCAUUGGGCGUAAAGGGCGCGUAGGCGGCGGGGCAAGUCGGGUGUGAAAUCUCAGAGCUCAACUCUGAAACUGCACUCGAUACUGCUUUGCUUGAGGACUGGAGAGGAGAUUGGAAUUCACGGUGUAGCAGUGAAAAUGCGUAGAUAUCGUGAGGAAGACCAGUGGCGAAGGCGGAUCUCUGGACAGUUCCUGACGCUGAGGCGCGAAGGCCAGGGGAGCAAACGGG